GUGUAUGAACAAGGGUUUUGUCGAAACCCGAGUAGCGUCACAGCCUUCAUCUCUUCUCUCCCAUCGCAUCAUCGAGCUAAAAAUGGCAAAUUUGAAGUGUACAACUGCUUUAUGGCAGAGCUGCUCGAUCAUUUGGGUAAAGCAUUAAUUUCUUAGCCUCUUUCCACCGUAUCUCAAUCCAAAUGAGUUUCUUUUGAUCGAGUCUGCUAAGAAAAAGUAAAAGGGAAGCUAAUAUGUUUUGAAGGCCCAGCCAAUGUGAAAUGGCACUGAUGGGCUUGGGUAGGCCCAUCAGUUAAAAAUUUCACUCUUCUCCUUUCUCCAUCUAUAUAUUUACGUGUAUAUAUUGUAUGUAUACUGAGUAUGUGAAUAUUGGAACCCUUGUGCAUGCUAGAACUUAGGAAGAACGCCUAGUAUUUUUAAGAGGAUGCCAAAAACUCUUUUUCCAAACUCGUUUAAUGUUUAAUUUCGCAUAAAAUUAGAACUCGGUUUGAUAGUGAAUUUUUUCUCAAAUUUUGGUUAAAC